CCGCCAAAAUAACAGUAACGCCCCUCUUACAAAUUCAAAGAAAAGAAAAACUGUCCUGCAUCUGCAAGCACCGUGAUACCAGAGAAGAUAGCAAGUAAAAAGGGCACCAAGUGACCAAGAGCACACAAUGGAAGAUAAGACAUUAAGGUGUCUCCAAAACAAGAGCCCAAGAUUCACAUUAGGAAGUGUGGGGCCAUAUGACAUUCAAGUGAACAGUUUGAACAUUUUAAUGAGGGAUGAGCAAGUUUCUGACGAGGUAAAUUAUUAUCCGUUAUAAAUUCUUACACUUAUUUUCUGUCACGUAUUUCCUACCACCAAAACAAGCCACCAUGGCCUACUUCUAGAAUUUAGCCUUCAAACAUGUUUUCUGUUCUACUUGUCCA